CCUACGGGAGGCAGCAGUAGGGAAUAUUGCUCAAUGGGGGAAACCCUGAAGCAGCAACGCCGCGUGGAGGAUGAAGGUUUUCGGAUUGUAAACUCCUUUUGUUAGAGAAGAUAAUGACGGUAUCUAACGAAUAAGCACCGGCUAACUCCGUGCCAGCAGCCGCGGUAAUACGGAGGGUGCAAGCGUUACUCGGAAUCACUGGGCGUAAAGAGCGCGUAGGCGGGAUAGCAAGUCAGAUGUGAAAUCCUAUGGCUUAACCAUAGAACUGCAUUUGAAACUGUUAUUCUAGAGUAUGGGAGAGGUAGGUGGGAUUCUUGGUGUAGGGGUAAAAUGCGUAGAGAUCAAGAGGAAUACUCAUUGCGAAGGCGACCUGCUAGAACAUAACGGACGCUGAUGCGCGAAAGCGUGGGGAGCAAACAGGAUUAGAUACCCCAGUAGUC
rnacentral:rRNA from 1 species